rnacentral:rRNA from 1 species
UGGUCAAGUUAUUAAGGGUGCAGGGCGGAUGCCUUGGCACUAGGAGCCGAUGAAGGACGUGAUAAGCUGCGAUAAGCUUCGGGGAGUUGCACGUAAACUUUGAUCCGAAGAUUUCCGAAUGAGGAAACUCACUUAGAGUAAUGUCUAAGUAUCAUUAAGUGAAUACAUAGCUUAAUGAGGGGAACUCAGGGAACUGAAACAUCUAAGUACCUGAAGGAAGAGAAAGAAAUUCGAUUCCGUAAGUAGCGGCGAGCGAACGCGGAUUAGCCCAAACCAAUCAAGUUUUCUUUAUUGGGGUUGCGGACAUAUCAUAACGAAGAGGUAUCGUAAUUGAAGAGGUUUGGAAAGACCCACCACCGAAGGUAAUAGUCCUGUAUGUUAAACGAGAAGACUUUAGAUAUGAUCCAGAGUACCACGGGACACGUGAAACCCUGUGGGAAGCAGGAGGGACCACCCUCCAAGGCUAAAUACUACCUAGUGACCGAUAGCGUAUAGUACCGUGAGGGAAAGGGGAAAAGAACCCCGGGAGGGGAGUGAAAUAGAACCUGAAACCCUGUACUUACAAGCUGUGGAAGCACAUUUCUUGUGUGACCGCGUACUUUUUGUAGAACGGGCCAACGAGUUACGUUAAGUAGCAAGGUUAAGCACUUAAGGUG